rnacentral:rRNA from 1 species
CCUACGGGCGGCAGCAGUGAGGAAUAUUGGUCAAUGGACGAGAGUCUGAACCAGCCAAGCAGCGUGAAGGAUGAAUGUCCUAUGGGUUGUAAACCUCUUUUAUCUGGGAAUAAAAUGUUCCACGUGUGGGAUUUUGUAUGUACCAUAUGAAAAAGGAUCGGCUAACUCCGUGCCAGCAGCCGCGGUAAUACGGAGGAUCCGAGCGUUAUCCGGAUUUAUUGGGUUUAAAGGGAGCGUAGGUGGAUUGUUAAGUCAGUUGUGAAAGUUUGCGGCUCAACCGUAAAAUUGCAGUUGAAACUGGCAGUCUUGAGUACAGUAGAAGUGGGCGGAAUUCGUGGUGUAGCGGUGAAAUGCUUAGAUAUCGCGAAGAACUCCGAUUGCGAAGGCAGUUCACUGGACUGAAACUGACACUGAGGCUCGAAAGUGUGGGUAUCGAACAGGAUUAGAUACCCUAGUAGUC